rnacentral:tRNA from 1 species
GGGAAGAAAGCAUAAUAUGCGGUUGACUUGAAAUUAACAGAUGGCGGUUAGUCCCGCCUUUUCUCG